ACUCCCCUAUUUCUAUGGUUGUGUAAACCUGAAAACCCUAGAUCUGUAUCUCUCUCCUCUCUCUCUCUUACUCUCUUUACUCCAUCAACAUACACUACAGUAGGAAACUUAAGAGCAGAACAUAAACCCAAAUAUGAGGAAGAUUACAAAACCCAGCAACUAAGGAGAACUCAAUCGUCAUUAGAAUCAUCAGGUUGGAGUAUUAGUAGGUGGAGAUUCAGGGGCUUUCGGUUUUUCCAUUUCCAUUUGCGGCUUUUCCAUUGCCCGGAGACUUCCCAUUGUCGUUCGGAGCUGCUUUUCCAUCGCCCUGAGCUUUGCCAUUGGAUCCAUUCUCCUUCUUGUGAAUCGAAGAUACUUUGCCAUUUAAUCCGAUUUUUUCCACUAUUAAGUAAUAGUGCGAAAAAUAAGGGGAUGUGAAAUUCUUGGUCUCGAGGUCUCAUUUGAUGAACAUGCUCUUGUUCGGCUGAUGAUGAGCGUGGUCGCUGACCAGAAAGCUCUAAAGGAAUCUCUUGGUGUCAAAGUAUCUUCGAUUCAUAAGAAGGAGAAUGGAUCUAAUGGCAAAGCUAAGAUGGAAAAACAGCUCCGAACGGCAAUGGAAAAGCCGCAAAUGGAUAUGGAAAUGGAAAUGUAAAACCGAAAGCCCCUGAAUCUCCACCUACUGAUACUCCACCUGAUGAUUCCGAUGACGAUUGAGUUCUCCUUUGUUGUUGGGUUUUGCAGUCUUAUAUUUGGGUUUAUGUUCUUCUUUCUUAUCAAUUUUUUUAUUUUUGUUUUGGGUUUGUUAAUGUUAUCCAUUAGUUUUUCUGUUUUGUUCUGGGUUUUCGUCCUCUGCUCCUAUGUUGCCUACUGUUGUGUAGGUUGAUGGACAAUUAUGUUUUCUUUUAGAUAUUUUAAUGAAUCGUCUAAUCCCUCUUUAA